AGCGAACGCUGGCGGCAGGCUUAACACAUGCAAGUCGAACGGGCAUAGCAAUAUGUCAGUGGCAGACGGGUGAGUAACGCGUGGGAACGUACCUUUUGGUUCGGAACAACACAGGGAAACUUGUGCUAAUACCGGAUAAGCCCUUACGGGGAAAGAUUUAUCGCCGAAAGAUCGGCCCGCGUCUGAUUAGCUAGUUGGUAGGGUAAUGGCCUACCAAGGCGACGAUCAGUAGCUGGUCUGAGAGGAUGAUCAGCCACAUUGGGACUGAGACACGGCCCAAACUCGUACGGGAGGCAGCAGUGGGGAAUAUUGGACAAUGGGCGAAAGCCUGAUCCAGCCAUGCCGCGUGAGUGAUGAAGGCCCUAGGGUUGUAAAGCUCUUUUGUGCGGGAAGAUAAUGACGGUACCGCAAGAAUAAGCCCCGGCUAACUUCGUG
rnacentral:rRNA from 1 species